UACAGAGGUCUCAACCGUUGUUCGGAUUCAUUGGGCGUAAAGGGUGCGUAGGCGGCGGGGCAAGUCAGGUGUGAAAUCUCGGGGCUCAACCCCGAAACUGCACUUGAUACUGCCUUGCUUGAGUACUGGAGAGGAGACUGGAAUUUACGGUGUAGCAGUGAAAUGCGUAGAUAUCGUAAGGAAGACCAGUGGCGAAGGCGAGUCUCUGGACAGUUACUGACGCUGAGGCACGAAGGCCAGGGGAGCAAACGGG
rnacentral:rRNA from 1 species